rnacentral:rRNA from 1 species
GAUGAACGCUGGCGGCGUGCCUAAUACAUGCAAGUCGAGCGAACAGAUGAGGAGCUUGCUCCUCUGACGUUAGCGGCGGACGGGUGAGUAACACGUGGAUAACCCACCUAUAAGACUGGGAUAACUUCGGGACACCGGAGCUAAUACCGGAUAAUAUAUUGAACCGCAUGGUUCAAUAGUGAAAGACGGCUUUGCUGUCUCUUAUAGAUGGAUCCGCGCCGCAUUAGCUAGUUGGUAAGGUAACGGCUUACCAAGGCAACGAUGCGUAGCCGACCUGAGAGAGUGAUCGGCCGCACGGGAACGGAGACACGGUCCAGGCUCCUGCGGGAGGCAGCAGUAGGGAAUCUUCCGCAGUGGGCGAAAGCCUGACGGAGCGACGCCGCGUGAGUGAUGAAGGUCUUCGGAUCGUAAAACUCUGUUAUGAGGGGAGAACAAAUGUGUAAGUAACUAUACACGUCUUGACGGUACCUAAUCAGAAAGCCACGGCUAACUACGUG